rnacentral:rRNA from 1 species
GUGCCAGCCGCCGCGGUAAUACCGGCAGCCCGAGUGAUGGCCGAUCUUAUUGGGCCUAAAGCGUCCGUAGCUGGGUCUGAAAGUCCAUCGGGAAAUCCACUCGCUCAACGAGUGGCCGUCCGGUGGAAACUCCACACCUUGGGACCGGAAGGCUCGAAGGGUACGGCCGGGGUAGGAGUGAAAUCCUGUAAUCCCGUCCGGACCACCGAUGGCGAAAGCACUUCGAGAAAACGGAUCCGACAGUGGGGGACGCAAGCUGGGGUCUCGAACCGGAUUAGAACCCCGGGUCC